UACGUAGGUGGCAAGCGUUGUCCGGAUUUAUUGGGGUUAAAGGGUGCGUAGGCGGUCUUAUAAGCCAGUGCUGAAAUAUCCCGGCUUAACCGGGAGGGUGGCAUUGAUACUGUAGGACUUGAGUGAAGUCGAGGUAGGCGGAAUUGACGGUGUAGCGGUGAAAUGCUUAGAUAUCGUCAAGAACACCAAUAGUGAAGACAGUUUACUAGACUUCAACUGACGCUGAGGCACGAAAGUGUGGGGAUCAAACAGG
rnacentral:rRNA from 1 species